AUUGAACGCUGGCGGCAUGCCUUACACAUGCAAGUCGAACGGUAACAGGCCUUCGGAUGCUGACGAGUGGCGAACGGGUGAGUAAUAUAUCGGAACGUGCCUAGUAGUGGGGGAUAACUACUCGAAAGAGUGGCUAAUACCGCAUGAGAUCUACGGAUGAAAGCAGGGGAUCGCAAGACCUUGUGCUACUAGAGCGGCCGAUGGCAGAUUAGGUAGUUGGUGGGAUAAAAGCUUACCAAGCCGACGAUCUGUAGCUGGUCUGAGAGGACGAUCAGCCACACUGGGACUGAGACACGGCCCAGACUCCGACGGGAGGCAGCAGUGGGGAAUUUUGGACAAUGGGCGAAAGCCUGAUCCAGCAAUGCCGCGUGCAGGAUGAAGGCCUUCGGGUUGUAAACUGCUUUUGUACGGAACGAAAAGCCCUGGGUUAAUACCCUGGGGUCAUGACGGUACCGUAAGAAUAAGCACCGGCUAACUACGUGCCAGCCGCCGCCGUAA
rnacentral:rRNA from 1 species